rnacentral:rRNA from 1 species
CCUGAAGCCAGUGGGCUAACCUUUUAGGAGGCAGCUGUCCACGGUAAGGCCAGCGACUGGGGUUAAGUCGUAACAAGGUAGCUGUAGGGGAACCUGCGGCUGGAUUACCUCCU